rnacentral:rRNA from 1 species
GAAGCUUGACUGUAGCUUGGAAUUGGGUUCGGGCUCUUCUUGCGCAGCCUAGGUGGGAGGCGUUGAAAGCUUUCUUUUGGGGAAGCUGGAGCCAUCAGUGAGAGACCACUCUGGAGGAGCUAGAAUUCUAAUGGCGUUCCUUGAAGCAGGACGCUUGACAGUUUCAGGUGGGCAGUUUGACUGGGGCGGUCACCUCCUAAAAGGUAACGGAGGUGUGCAAAGGUUCCCUCAGGCUGGACGGAAAUCAGCCGUAGAGUGUAAAGGCAGAAGGGAGCUUGACUGCAAGACCUACAAGUCGAGCAGGGGCGAAAGCCGGCCUUAGUGAU